rnacentral:rRNA from 1 species
GACGAGCGCUGGCGGCGUGCUUAACACAUGCAAGUCGAACGAUGAAACCUAGCUUGCUAGGUCGAUUAGUGGCGAACGGGUGAGUAACACGUGACUAACCUGCCCCUUUCUCUGGGAUAACGCUCCGAAAGGAGUGCUAAUACCGGAUACUCACACCGAGGCACAUGCCUUGGUGUGGAAAGUUUUUCGGAAAGGGAUGGAGUCGCGGCCUAUCAGCUUGUUGGUGAGGUAACGGCUCACCAAGGCGACGACGGGUAGCCGGCCUGAGAGGGCGACCGGCCACACUGGGACUGAGACACGGCCCAGACUCCUACGGGAGGCAGCAGUGGGGAAUAUUGUACAAUGGGCGCAAGCCUGAUGCAGCGACGCCGCGUGAGGGAUGAAGGUCUUCGGAUUGUAAACCUCUUUCAGUAGGGACGAAGCGAAAGUGACGGUACCUAAAGAAGAAGCACCGGCUAACUACGUGCCAGCCGCCGCGGUAA